rnacentral:ncRNA from 1 species
CUCUAAUAUUAUUUGAGAUUAUAUAUUUCAAGGAAUAUAUACAGUAAAGUAUUAGAUAUUAAAGAGAUUUAUUCCAUCCUAGAGAUUAGCUAGGUAAACAUGAAGCAGUAUAAUUUGUAUUAGUAAAUUUAAAAUAU